GACCGCACGGGAUAAUCGAUUAUCCCGUGCAGUUUGGUUAUACGGACCGCACGAGAUAUUCUAUUAUCCCGUGCGGUA
rnacentral:pre_miRNA from 12 species